rnacentral:tRNA from 1 species
GGGCGGUUAGCUCAGUUGGUAGAGCAUUCGCUUGACGUGCGAAGGGUCGGAGGUUCGAGUCCUCCACCGCCCA